rnacentral:lncRNA from 1 species
UCUGACCCCGCCAGCCACGCCUCCGCGCGCCGCCGGCCGGCGCGGGCGGGGGUCGCUGCGCUCCAGUGCGUCUGCGCGGCCGCCGAGGCUCGGCUGCUAAACUCCAGGAGUGCGCUCCAGUGCGUCUGCGCAGCCGCCGCGGCUCCGGGUUGCUAGGCUCCAGGCCUGCGCUCCAGUGCGUCUGCGCGGCCGCCGCGGCUCUGGGCUACUGAGCUCCAGGGCUGCGCUCCAGUGCGUCUGCGCAGCCGCAGCGGCUCCGGGUUGCUAGGUUCCAGGGCUGCGCUCCAGUGCGUCUGCGCAGCCGCAGAGGCUCCGGGUUGCUAGGUUCCAGGGCUGCGCUCCAGUGCGUCUGCGCGGCCGCCGCGGCUCCGGGCUGCAGAGCUGCAGGGCUGCAGGGCUCCGGGGCUGCGCUCCAGUGCGGCUCCGGGCUGCAUGGCUCCAGGGAGACCCCGCCCGCCCGCGCUCUCCGCCUUCCUCCAGGGCCUUCUGAAACUGUAUCCAUCAAGGCUCACAUCUGUGGCUUCACAGCUGAUGGGAAACCUGGAUUCAGUCCCUGGCUCCACCUCCCACUAUCUCUCCUAUUAUCUCUGACCUUCGGUGACCGAUUUACCUUUUCUUGAGCCUCAGAUUCCUCCUCUACGAAAUGGAAAUAAUAAUAAAUCCUACCCCCUAAAGUUCUUAGGAGAAUUAAAUAAGCUAAUAUAUUUAAGGCACCUCCUCAUGUGUCUGCCCAUAAAUAGCAUUUAACAGAAGUCAUUUAACAGCUAUGUAGGGAAAACAUUAAGAAAGACUAUUUAGGGCAGCCCAGGUGGCUCAGCAGUUUAACGCAGCCUUCAGCCCAGGCUGUGAUCCCGGAGUCCCAGGUCAGGCUCCCUGCAUGGGGCCUGCUUCUCCCUCUGCCUGUGUCUCUGCCUCUCUCUCUCUCUCUCUCUCUCUGUGUCUCUCAUGAAUAAAUAAAUAAAAUCUUUAAAAAAAAGAAGAAAAUAUUUAAAAGGAACAAAAAUGGCAUGCCUUAGUGACUCAGUCCAUUAGGU